GCCGGGCGUGGUGGCUCACGCCUGUAAUCCUACCACUUUAGGAGGCCGAGGUGGGUGGAUCACCUGAGGUCAGGAGUUCAAGACCAGCCUGGCCAACAUGGUGAAACCCUGUCUCUA
rfam:Papio anubis isolate 1X1155 chromosome X, whole genome shotgun sequence.